AGGGCUGUAGCUCAGUGGCAGAGCAACUGCUCUGAAUGCAGAAGGUCCCAGGUUCAAUCCCCAGCAGCCUCU